rnacentral:rRNA from 1 species
CCUACGGGUGGCAGCAGUCGAGAAUCAUUCACAAUGGGGGAAACCCUGAUGGUGCGACGCCGCGUGGGGGAAUGAAGGUCUUCGGAUUGUAAACCCCUGUCAUGUGGGAGCAAAUUAAAAAGAUAGUACCACAAGAGGAAGAGACGGCUAACUCUGUGCCAGCAGCCGCGGUAAUACAGAGGUCUCAAGAGUUGUUCGGAAUCACUGGGCGUAAGGCGUGCGUAGGCUGUUUCGUAAGUCGUGUGUGAAAGGCGCGGGCUCAACCCGCGGACGGCACAUGAUACUGCGAGGCUAGAGGUAUGGAGGGGGAAGCGGAAUGCUCGGUGUAGCAGUGAAAUGCGUAGAGAUCGAAAGGAACACUCGUGGCGAAGGCGGGUUCCUGGACAUUAACUGACGCUGAGGCACGAAGGCCAGGGGAGCGAAAGGGAUUAGAUACCCUAGUAGUC